rnacentral:lncRNA from 1 species
UUUACUCUUUAUUUACUUUUACUAUUUAUAAAUCUAUAUCUAUCAGAAUUAAUCCUUACAGGUAAUGAGUUCAAGGGGAUUGACAACCCUCCUGUCCGCGUUGGGUGCACGGAUUUGAUGUUCAUAUUGGUUCGAUAAACCUUGGUUCUCACUGAUGGAAAUACCUACCGCUACUAUAUUGUUUCACCCUUUGUAGCGACCGGUUUUCCGGAAAAUGAUUUCCAGAAAAACAUGCCUUUGUGUUCACCAGCCCCAGGACUACUGUUAGUUAGUGAACACUAACUUGAUACAGACAUCCCAAGAAAAAUACAAACUCUGGGUUACAAGACCAUGAAGGUCCACUGGUUUGGACAAAAGUCUGAGGCUGGCGGCGGAAGCGACUCGAGGAAUCUCCAGUGCCCAUGGGACUCCAUUCCCACAGGAACAGCUGACCUGGAUAAAUUCUAUCUCGCAAGGCCGCUAUCCUCGACUCCUAGUUUCCGGGGAUGACGACAUCGUGCUCCUAUCCGAUGAAAUCUGACCAAGACAAUAGCAAGGGACAAGCCAGUGAGUACUUUGUAUGUACUCGCAAACAUCAAGAAAAUAGAUAAGUUAAAGCAGGUGAGAUGCAUGCAUAAUUCACUUAAUAACGCUAUUAUACGAUAAAUUCACGGAUGCAUUCAUGCAGAUAAAUCAAUUCCACCAAUGUUGUAUAAGCAAGCAAAG